rnacentral:lncRNA from 1 species
UUCAGGUCAAAACGGGGUUAACAAUGAAGAAAGUUUCUUGUACGGUGAUCUAUAUGUUUUUUGCAUUCGGUGUGAUUUUCUUAUGUUUUAGUGUGUUUCAGUGUGUACGUAUUUUUUAUUUAUUUUAAUGUAAAGGUUUUUGAAUUUGAAGUAUUUCUAAUGAUUUUUAUGAUCAUCUACAGAUUACAGACGCCAAAUCCUUGAAUCAGGUAUAAUCAUUUUUCUGAAUAAUAGCAAUAAUUUAUGUUCGCUGGCACUGCUGAUGAUAGAUCAUGCUUCUUAUGUGAUUUGAAUGGAAAAACUUGUUUUGUUUUUCAUUUAGCAUGAUACUCAUGUCGAUUACAUCUUGGUUGUUAGGGUAGUCUCAUGUGUAAAUCCACUCUUCUUUGCUCAAUUACAUGGUAUAAUUUUACAACAAUGAAAUAUUUUUUUUAAGAAAUUCAUAAAAACAUCCAUAUAACUUAUUAUUAUUAAAUCAUAUAGUCCAAGAUUAAAUUAAAGAGAGAAAAAAAAAAAAAAAAAAAAAAAAAAAAAACCCGUACAUUUAGGUUGAGCGCUGGUAACUUUGCAUAUUAAUUGCCUAAAAUGAAACCCAAAUUUUGGUUGAAUUCUGAGAGCUUAUUUUCCUGUUUUCUAAUUGGUGAUGUAUUGGUGCAGAUAUUGUUUGUAUUAAAAGAGAAACAAAAUAGAAAUGCCUUGUGUUUAUGGGCAAUAUCCCAAUUCUACCUUUGGGAAGUCCACUACCUAUCCAAGUUCACUCUUCACGGCUCAGUUUCUAGCAGUGCUUCAAAAUAGCGGAAUAAGUACUACUAAUAUCAAGUUCUCAACUCGUAUAAUAGUGUCUAGAGCAGCAUUGAAUUUGAAGGACUUUAAUGUGGAUGUCGAGCUAGGCAAUGACAAGUAAUAGUAGUGGUGCUGGCAUUUUGAAUGGGAAGGCUACCGAAAAGGUCAGAGACUACAGCUAAAGAAUGCUGGUUGUUAAGCGUUCGAGAGGAUAAGAGCGCAAAUAUGAACAUCUUCGUAUCUAUCUUGCUUUGGCAAAUCAUUCUCCAUUUCUGCUAUCAUUAAAAUUUUGUUUGAUUGCAAUUUUACAAUGCAAUAAGUGAAUGAGCAUUUUGCAGUUUGUUCUAAUUUUGUCCAACUAUAUAUUGAUUUUAAGUUUGUUUUAUUCUGUGCUACUGAAUAUUUAGUUGAUGGAUAAUGUUUGGUAGAUUAGUGAUCUAUUCCCAGAAUCUGCGUUAUUAGAUUGAAUAAAAUAUUUUUUUUUUCCAAUUAAUAGGAAAUUUGCAAUGUUGAGAAUUCAGGAGUCCAAUUAAGUCUACUUUAUGUAGUCAUAUAG